rnacentral:misc_RNA from 1 species
CCGAGUUUACAACUCCCAAACCCAAUGUGAACGUUACCAAACUGUUGCCUCGGCGGGAUCUCUGCCCCGGGUGCGUCGCAGCCCCGGACCAAGGCGCCCGCCGGAGGACCCAAACCCUUGAUUUUAUACAGUAUCUUCUGAGUAAAUGAUUAAAUAAAUCA